GUUUGAUCGUCAAUUAAAACGUUUAUAUACCUACGUAUAAUUAGUUCAGGGGAAUUUUUCGUGUAUUCCAAAUAAUAAUAAUUUUAAACAAGUAUAAUUGUAUUAUUGUACCUAACCUAUAGUAAACCUAAAAAAAAAAAAACUUUUCAAAUGUGCAGUACGUCUCCUACGGCAUAUCAUACAAAUAUUAACGUAAGAAUUAAAUGUGCAUAACGUGUUACUUAAAAAAAAAAAAAAUAAUUCUAGCCGAACAUUACCGUAUAAUAAUUAUGACCAAAAAUAAAUUUAAAAUUACCCCGGACCUUAAGUCUGUACUCUUGUAGUUGUAUAACAUUAUUUUUACAGCCACCGAGAAUCCGAAUAAUAAAAAUAUUUAUAAAUAUUUCAAUGAAAUAAUAGUUACUGAAAUUAAAUGUAAAAAAAUAACAUUUUACAGAUUUUCAAAAAUGUCGUAUACCGAAGUAUACGUACCCCGAAGGGUACGUGCGAUUACGCGUGCGCUGCAUCAUCGAGAGUGAUUAAAUAUUUGCUUGAGUAAAAUAAUAAUAAGACUACGUAUUUUUACCGACUUAAAAGAAUAAUAAAAAAAAAAAAAACGCAUUAAUGCAUAACAAUAUUAUAUUAAUGUAAAUAUUUAAUGAACUAAGAACAAAAAAUAACGCGUCUAAAUAAAUAACAAUUAAAAUUUAAUACUAAUAAUAAUUAAUCACUGGUAUUUGCAAUUUUAAUGGAUUGAUUUCACGAAAAAAAAAAAAAUAAAAUAAAAUAAAGGAAAAAAAAACAGUUUGCAUUUAUUGUGUAAUUAUUAUAUCAGCGUAUCUUCCAACGGAAUAUUAUAAUAAUAUAAAUGAUAUAAAAAUAUUAUUAUUAUUUUUUAUUAUUAUUUUUUUUUUUUACGUAUAACGAUGAUAUUAUUAUUAAAGAUGAUGUCUUUGUUUGGUUAGGUUAGCUAUAUAUUGCGAAUUAAGAUAGUGCGUAUAAACCCAACGAGUUAUUAUUGAACAACAUCGAAUAGGUCCGCACAUUUUUUAAAAAAAAAUGCAUAAAUCGGAUCCACUGUUGUGCAACGUUUUAACUACCUAGAUAAGAUAAAAAAUAACGCGUUCAUAAUUUAUCUGUAUAAGAUAAUAGAUAGAAUAAUAUAAAAUUCAGAUAAAAUACAAGUAAUCACAUUUUUAUCUAGAUAAAAAAAAAAAUAUUAAAUGUUUAAUUUUUAGGUUUUUUAAGACUUUCAAAAAAUGUAAAACCUUUUAAAUAGUAAAAUUGCUCAACUGAUACGUGCGUGUAAAACCACACGGUAAAUGCAUUCCGAGUGUUUAAAUUUUAAUCUUCCUUUCUAUGCCGUAGAAUAUGAUUUAAAAUUAUAUAUUUACAAUUCAUAAUUGCAACAAUAUUUGUAUACCGUGGCGAAUCCAAGAAAAGACAAUCCAUUAGAAACGCUAGUGAGAAUAUGUCUAGAGCACGGUCGUAAAAAAUAAUGUUGGGACACUGGGAAAAAUUAACAAUUGCUAUUUAUUUACAAAUUUAAAACGUUUUAAAUCGUAAAGUUUAAAAAAAAAAAAAUCCGUAAACUGUGGCCUCAACCAAGCUCAGUUUGAGGCACUCCUUGAAAAAAUGUUAAAAAAGUGAACUAAAACUGUCUCUCUAUGUGAUUGCAAAAUCAACACAGAAAUGAUGCCCGGUGUCCGGACAUUAUAUCUUCCAAGACCAUGAAAACCUGGAACGACGACGAUGAGAGCAACGUCCGUUUGGCGAUCACUUUUUCGUAUAGCUCGUUGGGCAUCCAUUUACUAUCUCAAUCCGUUCUAUAUACCCGGUGACGACGAGAUCAAUAAUACCUACGCAUUAUACCAAGGUAUAUGUACAAUAUUUUUGAGAAAAUUCUCUCUGUUAUUUUGUAAACACUUGAUAAUGCCGUAGCCUAUACAUGAUCGGUGUGCGUGUCUGGACUUUGGGUUGAGAAGGCCAAGACUUAUUUUUUGUGAUAAUUUACACGUAGAGCUUAACAUAGUAUUGCGCAAUUUGAUGUUUAUUUUCUUGCAAUAGAGAGACGGUACCUCGAUCACAAAAAUUACGGGACAUAACGAAGAACAGUCGAAGAAAAUAAUAUUUAUGCUAUUUCAAAAAUGGUCAAUCCGUGGCUUAAAGUCUGCGGAAGUCUUAUCAUAAUUCUUUGAAGAAACUGAAUUUGGUCCAGUGGCGCGCGUAGAGGUGGAGUUGGUGGAAGUCAGAACCCCUCCCCCUCCGAAACGUCUUCUUCAUUAAAUUCGAUUGAAUCCAGUUUUACAUUUAGCAGCAUAGUAUCUCACAUAAUAAAAUAAUGAAAUUGAAUUUCAUCAAAAAUCAUAUAUUCGGUAACAAUAGCGAUAGUGAUUUACUGAUAAGAAGUUCUAUCCCCUAUCAAACAAAUUAUUAUAAGCACAACCUCUUCUCGAAAAUAAUGUCCGCAUGCGCUACUGGUUCGGCCGUUUUUGACCUAAUGUCCAGAAUUAUGUAUAUUAUUAAUAAUAUAUUAGACGGAACUACAGGAUAUAAAACUGUCUUUUGAAAUUGAUAAUAUUGACUAAUAUUAUUGAUAUUUUAAUAAUAAUCAAUGUAAAAAUUAAAUACUACAAUAUAAUAUUAUGGUUAUAAUAAUAAUAUAAGGUAUUUCGUUAUUAUUUAUUAUUGUAUUCUAAUCCGUGUAUAAAAAAAUGUCCACGCGUUAAAUUUUGCAGUUUGACGCUUGUAUUAAACGUGACACGGUGUACCAUAAUAUUAUUUUUAUUAUUGUUUCUCUUUUGUGAUCACGUCACGUAAAAAAAAAAAAAAAAAACAAAAAUAAUGUAUUAUUAUAUUCAUAGGGGUAAACAUAAUUACAAAAAACCAAAAAAAAAUAUAUGAAAUUUUUAUUUUCGUCCGCUUUGAUACAAUAAUAAUAAUUAUGUUUACCCGUAAUUAUUAAUAAUAUUGUUUAUCAAAAUAUACAUGGACGGCGAAUAUUAUAUAGUAGAUGGUGGCCUGUGGAACGCGGGGAGGGUUAAGGUGGAAGAAAUUUCAGUGUGCACAGUGGUCGCCGCGUGUAUCUAAAUGGGGAUUUCAAUCGUAAUUGCUUAUUUUGCGAAAACAAAUCGAACGAGAAGUAUUCGUCCGUGAAUAGUUUCUAUAAUUCUAUAGAAAUACGUUUUUUUAUUUGUUUUUAUUUUUUUUAUUAAUUUAGUUUUGAUUUAAGAACCGUUUCCCUGUGUAUUGUACGCGACCUACGUUAGAAUAAUAAACGCGGAAUUCCAAAACUGCCGAUAUUUUCGGCUCUGAAUCCUAUUGUCGAUCGGCUACCUAAAAUUGUAUACGAUCGCUCGUCCGUUUUGUUCGCCGAUAAAUAGGUUUUUGGUCAGGUAACCUACGUAGGUCGAAUCUAGAGUGUUACGCGGCUAAACGGUACUAUAGAAUAAUAUUUCAUGGUCGGCUCGGGGUUUUGGGGUUAUGUCUGACGUGCCCCGGUCCUAUAGGUUUGUUGUCGAGUUGUCCACCUGUGUAUACAAAAAUUUAAAUCUCUCUCUCUCUCUCUCUAUAUGCAUAUAAAUAUAUUAUUAUGAUAAACCGUUAAUAAUUUAUUAUGUUCCUUGUUGGUGUUAAUAAAAUAUUACGUUGUACAGCUAAAAAUUGUAUGUCUAUAAUACACAAUAACAUUAUAUUAUAAUUUAAGUAUAAAAU
rnacentral:lncRNA from 1 species